rnacentral:rRNA from 1 species
AGCAGCCGCGGUAAUUCCAGCUCCAAUAGCGUAUAUUAAAGUUGUUGCAGUUAAAAAGCUCGUAGUUGAAUUUCGGGGUUAGUAGGUUGGUCAUGCCUCUGGUAUGUACUGGUCUCACUGAUUCCUCCUUCCUGAUGAACCUUAAUGCCAUUUAUUUGGUGUUUUGGGGAAUUUGGACUGUUACUUUGAAAAAAUUAGAGUGUUUAAAGCAAGCUAACGCUUGAAUACAUUAGCAUGGAAUAAUGAAAUAGGACGUUCGAUCCUAUUUUGUUGGUUUCUAGGAUUGACGUAAUGAUUAAUAGGGAUAGUUGGGGGCAUUAGUAUUCAAUUGUCAGAGGUGAAAUUCUUGGAUUUAUUGAAGACUAACUACUGCGAAAGCAUUUGCCAAGGAUGUUUUCAUUAAUCAAGAACGAAAGUUAGGGGAUCGAAGACGAUCAGAUACCGUCGUAGUCUUAACCAUAAACUAUGCCGACUAGGGAUCGGGAUGAUGUUAAUUUUUAAUGUACUCAUUCGGCGCCUU